GACGGAGGAUGCAAGUGUUAUCCGGAAUCACUGGGCGUAAAGCGUCUGUAGGUGGCUUAAUAAGUCAACUGUUAAAUCUUGAGGCUCAACUUCAAAAUCGCAGUCGAAACUAUUAGACUAGAGUAUAGUAGGGGUAAAGGGAAUUUCCAGUGGAGCGGUGAAAUGCGUAGAGAUUGGAAAGAACACCAAUGGCGAAAGCACUUUACUGGGCUAUCACUGACACUGAGAGACGAAAGCUAGGGUAGCAAAUGGG
rnacentral:rRNA from 1 species